rfam:Dipodomys ordii contig_73506, whole genome shotgun sequence.
GGUGGCUCAGUGGUAGAGUGCAUGUCUCCUAUGCAUGAGGCCCUGGGUUUGAUUCCUCAGCACCA